AACGAACGCUGGCGGCGUGCCUAACACAUGCAAGUCGUGCGAGAAAGUUCCUUCGGGAGCGAGUAAAGCGGCGCACGGGCGAGUAACACGUAGGUAACCUGCCCCCCAGUCUGGAACAACUAGAGGAAACUCUAGCUAAUGCCGGAUGAGACCACGAUCCCUUCGGGGGUUGCGGCCAAAGAUGGCCUCUACUUGUAAGCUAUCGCUGAGGGAUGGGCCUGCGGGCCAUUAGCUUGUUGGUGAGGUAACGGCUCACCAAGGCUGUGAUGGCUAGCUGGUCUGAGAGGAUGACCAGCCACACUGGGACUGAGACACGGCCCAGACUCCUACGGGAGGCAGCAGUGGGGAAUAUUGCGCAAUGGGCGAAAGCCUGACGCAGCGACGCCGCGUGGGUGAUGAAGGCCUCGGUCGUAA
rnacentral:rRNA from 1 species